rnacentral:lncRNA from 1 species
GGUGGCUGGCCUGACCUUGAUCAUCUGCCUGUGGGGCUCCCUGGGGCACAGUUGGGAAUUUGUCCAUGGCACUGGGGCCUGGGCAUGGGAGGCAAGGCCGGGCAGUGGGAGGUGCCCUGAAUUGGUGAUCCAGCCACUUAAGCACUGAACCUCAAUACAGGAGACGUCACAGGAUUGCUGUAAGGAUCUAAAGAGCUGCCUCAGAAGAGAAGAAGGAACGGACACAAAUGAAAAUCAGAACACUAAAGAGAUUCAAAGAUUUGUCAUUUCCCUUCUGCUCAUGAAGGCCCUUGAUAGCUACACACGCAGUCAAGGCAACAAGCAAGCCUUCCACAUCCACGGUGGAUGGAGGCGCUCUUGAAAGGGGAGCCUUAGGAUGAAGGCAAAGGAAAAUGACCAGAAGGAAAGGACGGUGGGAGCGUAAAGAAGACUGACCUUGCACGGGGAAGGUGUGGACUUCUAGCCCAGCUAGAACUGGACGUCUGCUUCCCCGACCCCGUGUCCUUGAGAAGGUCAGCUUCGAAGCCUCAGUCUCCCCACCUAUGAAACGAGGAUGCAGGUCUCCAACUCACCCACAGUGCGGCCCCCUCGAAAGACUCACGUGGUUUAAUGACUCGUAAAGCACACAUCAUAAACGGCACACACGUUCUAGAAGGCUU